AGCAUGCUGCGAAACCUCCCCUCACAGUUCCUCCCCCACCGGUCCCUCCCACUCCCGGGAUAGUGCAGUCGCGCUCGUGGGCUUCUGCGCGCCCGCGUGCGAUGCCUGCUUCGCGCGGGAUGCCACCUCUGCCGUGUCGCCGCGCCCUUCACCGCCCCGAGCUGAGCGACGCUGCACCGCCUCCGACUCAUACUGCAGCGCCAGGAGCAGUCGGGUCAAGGGCCACAGUAGCGGGCGGCGAUAGGGAAGGCGCGUCGCCGGGAACCGCUGGUGUACAUUGCCACCUCCACUUCCUCUCUGCCGUGGCCACCUAUCCAGCGUCCAACCCCAAAGCAGCUGAAACUGGCGAUUCCUUGGACAGCUGGCUGACCCACUCAUGAUCACCAAUGGGUUUCAGUUAGAUUUGGUUGGAUAACUCAUGCAUUGUAAGGUUGGAAGCAAGACACACUAGCAUGGCAGUGGAUCUUAUCCCGAGGAGCUGCCACUGACACAUUAGUGGACGACGACUCUCAAGCUCAGUAUGUCAUCUUGUUUCAUCCCUUUAUUUUUAGCAAAGUCGUUUCACCCCUCGUGUUUUAUUUUAUGUAUAUAUGAAGAACUGUACAAAGCUAAAUAUAUGUAUUAGGUUUCCCCUCAAUGUCUAUUAGCUGGAGAAACUGCUUUAAUUCUUUGUAUGGUUGCUUAUCGCAACCUUGCAAGUAAGUACCCAAGAGAUGAGCCAUUCAGUCUCUGUACAGUUUGUGCGGUUGGAACAUGAAUUUUCCAUUCUUGUAGAGUCACUUCCUCUGGGAAACGCAUGCAAAGUGCUUGAUGCAUUGAUUAUUUCUACAAAUUAUACAAAAUAUGCACAUGUUUUCUCUUGCAUUUACACCCAUUAAGAAAAUAUAAGGAUUUAUCGAUGCUGGUUUUACAGAAUUUGCAGAUGUAAUCUUAAUGCAAAUAUAGUUCUCUUUCUCUUUGCUGAAUGACAAGAUGGAUGGCAAUCAUGAAGCGUGUAGAUGAAUUGAAUGGAUGAAUAAAUUUUAUGUGCAUAUCCACUAAGAAAUCGUGGUAUCCUUUGUACUAGCAAAUCUGCUAUGAUUUUGCGUAGAAACUUUUUUUUGUAGAUAAUUAGAUUUUGAAAAACAUAUGUAACAAAAUGAGGUGGUAUUUUGCAACAAAAUGAGGCAAAUAAGACAAAUGUUACUUCAAAUUUUCGUUUGGCGAGUUUUCUGGUUUUAUUUUGCAUAUGUGGCACUUAUCUUUUUAGAAAAUCAGUGGCAGAGCCAGCCAGUUGCCUGUGCUCGGACGGUGAUCUUCUGCUAGAAAACUAAACUAGCUUAAAGAUUCACUUGCUGUUUGUUUCUGCAAAAGCAUACUGACACAGCAGCAGAAAAGCAGAAUGGUUAUUCCCAGGCUCCGGCGAGCGGCUAGCUCUUGUGUUAAAUACUUAUGUGAUUGAUCUUUUCUUUUGCAGAGACUAACAUCUGUGGUAUAGUUCAUAAAUUUCGUUGCCAUGUUUUUUCUGAACUAAAAAUAUGAGAUUGCACCUUUACUGUUGAGAAAGAUAAUUAUUUAUCUAAGCAACCAGCAAUAGUUCUAGAGAUGGUUUCUAUAUGUGUGGUUUGUCCUUUCUCAUCUUUUUAUUCUUGGAUCUAUUUGUUGAUAUUAGUAUUGUGCUUAUAUUGACGAGCUGCCUGGCAAUACAUAUUCUGUCAUAGUAUUAGAUUAGUGAGCUGUUUGUAUCCCCAAAAGUAUUAUAUUAGGGCGAGAGUAAAAAUGUAUUUCUUAUUCAUUCAGUUUACUCUCAUCUAAAGAUAAGUUUUCCUUCAUGCAUGUGGGAAAGAAAGCAGUAGUGUAGUACUACAAGGUUUAAUGACACGUAUCAUCAUACAUAGAAAAUACAGUAGCGAAGACUCUUGCGAUUCCUUAUAAGGAAAGGGUAUAGGAUUAAUGUACUCCUACAAAAAAAAAGUAUAUAUCACGCGUAGAGCAUAAGCUCUCUUCCCAAAUUGUAUAGGAUUAAUUUACUCCUAAAGUCAGCAGCACUCACGAGGAUAUGAUGCCAUCUAAAUAGAGAGGAAGGAUUCCAACGAAGCCUGGACUCCACCUUGCAUUAUUUUCAACCGUCUAUGUAGCUGGUUUUAAUGUAGAUACUCCAGAUGGCGGCAUCUUACGUCGUCUAGCUAUCAGAUGAUGCUCAGACAAUAUGUUACUACACACAACGAUGGCAAUUUUGUUACCUUUAUCUAGCGCUUAUGGAGGCUGUCAUGUGAAUGCUCCAGAUUGGACAUUAGUUGCCGCUGGUCUCACACAAAAAAAGGGGUGAGAGCUUCGCAUGGUCUUAAUAGACAUGGUCCAAUUGGUACCAUCUCCUGACUAUAAGUGCUCAGCAAGGCAAGAUAAUACCCACACUUUGCUAUGUGUUAAGAGAUGUGGAAUAUCAGUUCGUGGGCAGUAUGGCACAGCUUGCCAAUGGAUCUGUUUUGUAUGUCAUUCAUUUUGCCUAGAUGAACCAGAUCUUCCUGAGGCAAACAUUGGAGAGAAAGGGAUACCGGAGAGGAAGAAACUUUUUUUUGCGAGAAACCACUGAUUAUAUUAAAGUCCAGAAAUUACAGAAAGACAUCCCACAAAGAUAGAAAUAACACAUAGGUCCUUCUGCAACAUAGUGAUGAUGGCGAGGAACCAUAUGCAUCAACGACGCGCCGUCCGCUGCAUCUUCCAAACCUUGGAACAAAGAUGAUCCCCUACGGAUGGGAAGUUGUUGAAUCGCGAACUCCAGAGAGCCUCCAUCCUUCGCAAAGCUAGCAGCACCGCCGGACUCCAACACCAGCAGCUCCGGUUUCUAGAUCUGGAUCCACCGCUCCGGGAUCCAGCCGGGGAACGAGCGCGCACGGCGGCCACCCAGGACCGCGAGCACGGGGAAAGCCGCCUGCUUCAUGCUGAAGCUCCGAAGAACGCCCGCACCGGAGAGGAAGACGACGACCCCAAAACGUCGACCACCGAUGCCUCCGCCUCCAAGACGCCUCCGGCAAGCACCCUACUCAAGCCUACACUAUGUACACGAUGAGAUCCGGGGUUCCCCCCACCCUCCCACCGCCGGAGCGGCCGGCAGAGAGAAGGGGAAUCAGCGAAUCGGCGCCGGCGAGGUGGAUUGACUAGGUGUUUCCAAGAAAUCGCCUCCGACAAUGGAGCGGGGGAGGAGACGGGUCCAGAGAGGAAGAAACCUAAGCGUACACAAAGAAAGAAGAUCAAUAUGCAGUAGCAAUCCCCUUGUGCAUUCUCUUCUGAUGGCAAUGAUGUUGAGCUUGAAAAAUUCAGAACUGGAUGUAAAGAUGUGCCAGGAGAUGAUGCAACUGUAAAAGUCCCACAGAUGAAGAGGAUUGUGCUUUUCUGUAAAAAUUCCAGAGGAGACUUGCUCCAAGCGUUCCAGAUUGGAGGAGGUGAGCAAUGUUAACAGAGCGACUGGGUGAAUUUGUUUAGUCUUUGCCAAUGUUGACGGUUACAUGUACUAAUAUUAUUGUAUUUUACAUUAAUUUUCAGUAAGAGACAUGUUAUGGUU